CUGGUGUCGGAGGGGAUGGAGAUGUUUGUGCGGGUGGAGGGGUUGGAAGGUGUUGUUGGGGUUGGAAGGUGUUGAGGUUGUAAGUGUUGUAGGGGUUGGAGGUGUUGUAGGGCUAGUAGGUGUAGGAGAUGUUGUAGAGGUUAGAGGUGUUGUAGGGGUUAGAGGGUUUGGAGGUGCCGGGUGGAGGGACUUUGGGCUAGGUUUCCAUCAGGAUUGCUUUGUGAAUAAUUGGUGCAGUUGUAUUGCAGUAGAAUGUAAAGAGGCGGCCGGGGCGGAGGGUUAAGUCGCCUCUAAUGCACUUUAAUUGUGCUUAGUCAUUCUGAAGGUACUUUAUUGAUCGCUUACUUCAGGAUGCAGAAAACAAAACCGUCAAAUACCACACAGAGUCCACGAUGUGGAGCAGACUUCUAAAAUAACCAUCACUACAGCUCAGAGAGAACCACAGCAUACACCGCUCAGCUAUUUCUUAAAGGAAAGAGAAAUAAACGCACGGAUAAUCAUCAUGGAGGAAAUGAUGGAAACACUCUCUCUGAUAUUCAUCAUCUAAUAAUCAUCCAUCUGAGGAGCUUCAGUGCCAACUCUUAAACACCACACACUCGGUGAUGAGUCACAUCACACUCACACGUACAGCUGUCUUUAUAAAUGUCAUACAGCUACAGCAGAAUGACCAGCGCUCA
ensembl:lncRNA